rnacentral:lncRNA from 1 species
CAGCCUAGUGUUAGGGUGCUGCUGCCACUCACUCUAAAGAGAUUCUAUGAAACUCUUUGCAAGAUGAAGAUGCAGUUUGUCUCUCGCUGAGACCCUGACGCAGGUAUGAGAAGGACUAGAAAAGACUGGAGGUGGAGGAAGCAAUUGACUGCCUAGUGGGAAAGGAACAUGGGAGGACACAGACCGCUCCAUGUGUGAGGUUUGAGCUGAAUCUUGUGGCAUGAGACAUUUCCCUGGAACUAAGGAGGCCCCUGGGGAUCCCUUUCUGAAUCCAGCAUCCUCCGGUCCAUGUCUUUGCAGGGAUGUGCAGGGGCCCUGUGAAGUUCCUGAGGAAUCCUGCAGCUGUUGGGGUCUUGGAGGAGAUGGCCAGCGUGUCUCCCAGUCCUUGUUAGUACCACAAAUAACCCAUUGAGGGGAGCAGGAGAAGGGAGAGCUUCCAGAGCUGCCCCUGGGGGCUCUCAAUGGGGGCACUGUUUAGGCUUGGGCGGAGGCCAGCCCUGACACCAUGCUGGUUGUCAAGGCCUCAUUCUUCCCAAGGAGGCGGCUGGAAAGGCAGCAGAGCAGCUGAGGCUCCAGAAAAGGUACUUCUCUUGUUCCUUACAAGGCCCAACUGACAAAUGAGAGGAAGCCACUUCCUUUUUAAUUAUCUUCUGUUGUUCAUUACAUUUACAUCCCAAGCGUUUUCCCCCUUCCCAGUCACUCUCGUUUUACUACUCAAGACCCGAAACUGAUGGGUUUUUCCUUUCUCUCCCCAAUCUCCACUGAAACUUCGAAAUGAUGUCAAAAUUUUCUGCUUUGUACCCAUGUCAUUGGGCAGCCCAUCAAAGAAGCACCCUGAGAAUGGCU